rnacentral:rRNA from 1 species
UACAGAGGUCUCAAGCGUUGUUCGGAUUCAUUGGGCGUAAAGGGUGCGUAGGCGGCGCGGUAAGUCGGGUGUGAAAUCUCGGGGCUUAACUCCGAAACUGCAUUCGAUACUGCCGUGCUUGAGGACUGGAGAGGAGACUGGAAUUUACGGUGUAGCGGUGAAAUGCGUAGAUAUCGUAAGGAAGACCAGUGGCGAAGGCGGGUCUCUGGACAGUUCCUGACGCUGAGGCACGAGGGCCAGGGGGAGCAAAACGGGG